GAUGAACGCUGGCGGCGUGCCUAACACAUGCAAGUCGAACGGAGUUAUUAUUAUGAAGUUUUCGGAUGGAUUAAUAAUAACUUAGUGGCGGACGGGUGAGUAACGCGUGGGUAACCUGCCUCAUACAGGGGGAUAACAGUUGGAAACGGCUGCUAAAACCGCAUAACAUUGCGAUGUCGCAUGACAAUGCAAUUAAAUAUUUAUAGGUAUGAGAUGGGCCCGCGUCUGAUUAGCUAGUUGGUGGGGUAAUGGCCUACCAAGGCGACGAUCAGUAGCCGGCUUGAGAGAGUGACCUGCCACAUUGGGACUGAGACACGGCCCAAGCUCCUACGGGAGGCAGCAGUGGGGAAUAUUGCACAAUGGGGGAAACCCUGAUGCAGCGACGCCGCGUGAGUGAAGAAGUAUUUCGGUAUGUAAAGCUCUAUCAGCAGGGAAGAAAAUGACGGUACCUGACUAAGAAGCCCCGGCUAACUACGUGCCAGCCGCCGCCGUAA
rnacentral:rRNA from 1 species